rnacentral:rRNA from 1 species
UCUCAAGCGUGAGGUAAGAGCAUUUGGUGGAUGCCUUGGCAUGUACAGGCGAAGAAGGACGUGGCACGCUGCGAUAAGCGUCGGGGAGUUGUGAGCAAACUUUGAUCCGGCGAUUUCCGAAUGGGGAAACCCACCUUCACCAUUUCUUCCAGUCGGCUUUCGGGCUGCCUGGGCGAGGUGGAUAAGGUAUCACCGAGCUGAAUAUAUAGGCUUGGUGAAGCGAACCCGGGGAACUGAAACAUCUCAGUACCCGGAGGAAAAGACAUCAACAGAGAUUCCCGUAGUAGUGGCGAGCGAACCGGGACCAGGCCAGUGCCUUCAUUUCAACUAGCAGAACACUCUGGAAAGUGUGGCCGUAGCGGGUGACAGCCCCGUAUGCGAAAGUGAUGAUGAAGGACUAGAGUAGGGCGGGACACGUGAAAUCCUGUCUGAACAUGGGGGGACCACCCUCCAAGCCUAAAUACUCGUACAUGACCGAUAGCGAACACAGUACCGUGAGGGAAAGGUGAAAAGCACCCCGAUUAGGGGAGUGAAACAGUACCUGAAACCGGAUGCUUACAAGCAGUUGGAGCCCCAUAGGGGGUGACAGCGUACCUCUUGCAUAAUGGGUCAGUGACUUAAUCUAGCAUGCGAGCUUAAGCCGUUAGGUGUAGGCGAAGCGAAAGCGAGUCUGAAUAGGGCGACUGAGUAUGUUGGAUUAGACCCGAAACCCGGCGAUCUAGGCAUGAGCAGAUUGAAGGUGCGGUAACACGCACUGGAGGAUCGAACCGUUGCAUGUUGAAAAAUGCUCGGAUGACUUGUGUUUAGGGGUGAAAGGCCAAUCAAGCCGGGAAAUAGCUGGUUCUCCGCGAAAUCUAUUGAGGUAGAGCGUCAGAUGUAUGCCGAUGGGGGUAGAGCACUGGAUGGGCUAGGGCUGCGCGAGCGGUACCAAACCUAACCAAACUCCGAAUACCAUCGAGUCUUGUCUGGCAGACAGACGGCGGGUGCUAAGGUCCGUCGUCAAAAGGGAAACAGCCCUAACCUACAGCUAAGGUCCCCAAGUCAUAUCUAAGUGGGAAAGCAUGUGGGAAUCCCAAAACAACCAGGAGGUUGGCUUAGAAGCAGCCAUCCUUUAAAGAAAGCGUAACAGCUCACUGGUCUAAAUAAGGGUUCCUGCGGCGAAAAUGUAACGGGGCUAAAGAUAUGCACCGAAGCUUAGGGUUGCAGUUUACUGCAGCGGUAGCGGAGCGUUCCGUAAGCGAGUGAAGGCGAAGGGUAACCGACGCUGGACGUAUCGGAAGUGCGAAUGCUGACAUGAGUAGCGACAAACAGGGUUAGAUGCCCUGUCGCCGAAAGACCAAGGGUUCCUACGCAAUGCUAAUCAACGUAGGGUGAGCCGGCCCCUAAGACGAGCCCGAAGGGGGUAGUCGAUGGGAACCACGUUAAUAUUCGUGGGCCUGGUGGUGUGUGACGGAUCUCGUAAAUUGUCCUUCCUUAUUGGAUUGGUUGGGCAGUGAAGAGGUUCCAGGAAAUAGCCCCACCGUAUAGACCGUACCCGAAACCGACACAGGUGGUCAGGUAGAGUAUACCAAGGCGCUUGAGAGAAGUAUCCUGAAGGAACUCGGCAAAUUGCCUCCGUACCUUCGGAAGAAGGAGGCCCCAUCUUAAGGCAACUUUUGGUGGGGGGCACAGGCCAGGGGGUAGCGACUGUUUAUCAAAAACACAGGACUCUGCUAAGUCGGCUUCAAGACGACGUAUAGGGUCUGACGCCUGCCCGGUGCUGGAAGGUUAAGAGGAGGAGUGCAAGCUCCGAAUUGAAGCCCCAGUAAACGGCGGCCGUAACUAUAACGGUCCUAAGGUAGCGAAAUUCCUUGUCGGGUAAGUUCCGACCUGCACGAA